rnacentral:rRNA from 1 species
UACGAAGGGGGCUAGCGUUGCUCGGAAUCACUGGGCGUAAAGCGCACGUAGGCGGAUCUUUAAGUCAGGGGUGAAAUCCUGGAGCUCAACUCCAGAACUGCCUUUGAUACUGAGGAUCUUGAGUCCGGGAGAGGUGAGUGGAACUCCGAGUGUAGAGGUGAAAUUCGUAGAUAUUCGGAGGAACACCAGUGGCGAAGGCGGCUCACUGGCCCGGUACUGACGCUGAUAUACGAAAGCGUGGGGAGCAAACAGG